rnacentral:rRNA from 1 species
CGUAGGGUGCAAGCGUUAAUCGGAAUUACUGGGCGUAAAGCGUGCGCAGGCGGUUAUGUAAGACAGGUGUGAAAUCCCAGGGCUUAACCUUGGAACUGCAUUUGUGACUGCAUAGCUAGAGUACGGUAGAGGGGGAUGGAAUUCCGCGUGUAGCGGUGAAAUGCGUAGAUAUGCGGAGGAACACCGAUGGCGAAGGCAAUCCCCUGGACCUGUACUGACGCUCAUGCACGAAAGCGUGGGGAGCAAACAGGAUUAGAUACCCUGGUAGUCCACGCCCUAAACGAUGUCAACUGGUUGUUGGGUCUUCACUGACUCAGUAACGAAGCUAACGCGUGAAGUUGACCGCCUGGGGAGUACGGCCGCAAGGUUG